GACGAACCACACAAACGUUAUUCGGAAUUACUGGGCUUAAAGGGUGCGUAGGCUGCGCAGAAAGUUGGGUGUGAAAUGCCUCGGCUCAACCGAGGAACUGCGCCCAAAACUACUGUGCUUGAGGGAGAUAGAGGUGAGCGGAACUUAGGGUGGAGCGGUGAAAUGCGUUGAUAUCCUAAGGAACACCCGUGGCGAAAGCGGCUCACUGGAACUCUUCUGACGCUGAGGCACGAAAGCUAGGGUAGCGAACGGG
rnacentral:rRNA from 1 species